UACGAAUGAAAUCUUCUUCAAAUAUAGUUAAUGUGAAAUCUGUACUUCGAUCUUGGAUGUUCGUAGUUCGGCUUCGUGAACAUGGAAUUACAUGUAUUGAAUUCAUUGCUCGAUAGUAUGGCGUAAAAUUGUCAAAGAAGAGUCGACGCGGAACCAAACGACCAGAGCAUGAAGACACUUUGAUCCCUAUAGAAACCAUGACAGCUGCGCAAGCGUAAAUGCGAACUCUAAUUCUUGGAAACCAAAGAUGAGUUCUACGAAAAGCGGGGAUUCCCCCAUUUUUACAAGAUUGUUUAUAAUCCCAAAAUGCAAAACGUUUGAGAGAAUAAAGAUAUUGAUAUCAUUAUUUUUCCGGUCUAGGUUAUAACAUUUAAGAAGUUUGCUAUUGCGUGACAUGUAUCGAUGUAGUGUUUACUUCUAGGAAAAGAAAAAAAGCUCUUUGUUCCAAGAUCAAACCGCCCUUUGGCGAACUCGUGGAUAUUUGUUGCACUUUUCGAAGAUUGGUCUUCCUGUGCCCUCCUGAUGCUUGUUGACAUUCUCAAAGGAUUCCAAGUAUUUCGAUCGAUUUAAUAUUUUAAAUACUCAAGUUAUCUAAACAUCACUUUGAAAGAAGCAUCCUAGUGGACCUAAAGAGGAAUUGGCGUAUCUAUUUGCCUGAUAUAUAUAUAAUCUAAAGUGACACAUAUAUACCGCUAUAUAUAUAGGGAAGCAAAUAUCAAGAAAAUUACACUUCUACAUAGAUCUUAAGUACGCCGCACCAAAGUUUCGUCGAUAGAAAAAACUCAGUAGACCAACGAAGAAAUCAACAAACAUUAACUAUGGAAAACAAUCAGUUUCCACCAGAUUCUGGACGAAGUUUGAAAGUUGCGUACAUUAGAAGAAAUGAUGAGAGAGAAGAUGAUAUUAGAUCAAAUGAAGAAGAUCUUGAUUCAUUGAGUAGACUACUGUCUUAUGAGUCACGCGGCUCGACAGCAAAUCAAGAGGAACUUGUCUUUGACAUUCAGACCGGUAAACUCACUGUGUCUAAUAAAAAUAACACUCAUGAAACGGGGAACAGGAAUCCAGUAAUGACCAAAAUGGCUGCACAGGGAUAUUUCUAGCCAGCUUCAGCUUCUACUUAGUCUUAGAAUAGAAUUGUCAAAGAGAACUGAAGAAAAAACAGUGACCUAAAUCAUUAGUUUUGGACUUAUAUACAUGUGUCUUUAGGCUUAUAUAAGACUGAUAUAUUCUGUUAGAUAACAUUCGUCUGUAUUUGAUUGCAAACAAACCUGUAUAUUCAAAAAACCGGGCCAGAGAUUACAUAAUGGUUGUGAGACUUUUCUUCUCUCAUAAAAACGAAUCACCUCCAGUUUAUCUCUUUAUUCUUUCCGUCAUUUUAGGAAAUAAUUUUCAUGUAAUUAAUCAGUUUAGAAAUUAAAUUUGCACAUAAUAUGA